GACGGGUGAGAAUCCCGUCCACCGAUUGACUAAGGUUUCCAGAGGAAGGCUCGUCCGCUCUGGGUUAGUCGGGUCCUAAGCUGAGGCCGACAGGCGUAGGCGAUGGAUAACAGGUUGAUAUUCCUGUACCACCUAUAAUCGUUUUAAUCGAUGGGGGGACGCAGUAGGAUAGGCGAAGCGUGCGAUUGGAUUGCACGUCUAAGCAGUAAGGCUGAGUAUUAGGCAAAUCCGGUACUCGUUAAGGCUGAGCUGUGAUGGGGAGAAGACAUUGUGUCUUCGAGUCGUUGAUUUCACACUGCCGAGAAAAGCCUCUAGAUAGAAAAUAGGUGCCCGUACCGCAAACCGACACAGGUAGUCAAGAUGAGAAUUCUAAGGUGAGCGAGCGAACUCUCGUUAAGGAACUCGGCAAAAUGACCCCGUAACUUCGGGAGAAGGGGUGCUCUUUAGGGUUAACGCCCAGAAGAGCCGCAGUGAAUAGGCCCAAGCGACUGUUUAUCAAAAACACAGGUCUCUGCUAAACCGUAAGGUGAUGUAUAGGGGCUGACGCCUGCCCGGUGCUGGAAG
rnacentral:rRNA from 1 species